GUUCUUUCAAUCCAAAAGUGGACUGAAGCUGGACUAAAUCUUAGGUGUGAUUGGGCCCUUAAGGUCAGCAUGUGCCACACUCGAGCAGAGCCAGCUCCUGGAAUUUAGCAUCCCAGCCCUGAACUGCUCUUCAAAUAUUUUUCCCAAGUGUUCCAUGCAGUGAAUGCUAUCAGAAUAUAUUACAUAGCUACCACUUUAAACUCUCAGAAUGCCUAUCCCCGUAGCGUUACUUCAGGAGAUUGUGAACAUUUAAAAUGGCCACCCCAGUUCCAGCUGCGCAAAAGAUAGGCAUUAACAGCUUGAACUUUUCCUUCAGGGAGUGGCAGGCCUAACCUGUGAGACAGUCCCCAAUUUUUUAGCAGCUUCGGUCAACAAAGCCUAGCGUUCUUUCUUUCCUCCUUCCUUCCUUGAUACCACUUUUCUAAGNCCUGCAGGUAGCCAGUCAAAAAGGAUCCCAAUAGUUUGCAGAAAAGAAACUUCAGCUGACUAAAAAAACCCCGUUUCGUCUGCAUACUACUGAGAAAGAAGAAUUCAGGGGCAGAGCAGAAACUUGCUGUGUACCUUUAAAAUUCAGUUUUCUCCUCCCUCUGUUAUGGUCCCAGCCGUUCCUGGAAGUCCCGCCCAACAGGGCUACUGAUGGACACCUUUUCUGACCUAUAGAACGUCCGUGGUGGAGGUCGUGAGCCAAUGAGACGAAAUAUUUGAACAUGGUGCCAGGCUCUAGGAAGAGUUUCAGGAAGCGACUGUUCUGUAGCUGAACACGGGAAGGUGGUCAGUAGCUCCGAAGGUGAGGGAAGCGGCGGCGGUUUCACACAGCCAUCCUGUCAGUGCUUUUGGACAAAAUGUAAAUCAUAGGGAUCUUGCUCAGAGGAUUUGAACUUUGACUUGCUGACUGAUAUAAAGAUAAGAGAGGGAUGAAGAUCAUACCUGCACUUACCUCCCUUAGAGCUGACUGAGUCUUUUCUCCUUGAGGACCAUGUGGGAUCCCAAUGCAGGCCAGCCAGGUGCCUACCCAGGAGCAGCAUACCCUCCCAAUUCUUCAUAUCCAGCUGACUUCAACCCAGCACACCCUCCUCCUCCUGUGAAUCCAGCCUUCCCCCAAGGUCCAGUCCCUGCUGGCUCGUAUCCUGCCCCCCCUGCAGGAAUCCCCGGACAACCUGCGUAUCCUUCAGGUCACCCUAAUCAGCUGCCAUAUCCUGGGCAUCAGCCCGGCUAUCCCGUGCCAUCUGGAGGUCCUUAUCCUCCACCUGCUCCUGGUAUGCCUGGAGGAAUGGGAGUGAAUCCAUUGGUUCCUGGGGCUAUUGCUGUGGGAACCCAUGUGAUGGAUAAGAAGGCAGCAAAAAAGAUGAAGAAGAAAAUGAAGAAGGCCCACAAGAUGCACAAGCCACACAAACUCCAUAAGCUUCAUGGAAAGCAUUCCUCUUCCUCCUCAUCUAGCAGCAGUGAUUCUGACUGAGGCCUCUCCCUACCUCUGAGCUGUAUCUUCUUCCCACAGANGCAGAUCCUUACACCAGUCUUCCUGCUUCUGCCCUACACUGUCUUCUAAUGUCUCACAAGAUUAAAAAUGAUGCACGCUUACUGCUCAUCCUAUCUUACAGGACUGGGCCACAUGUCAUGUUAUCCCAAGGGCGUGUGCAGUCUCUUGCAAAGUCUGAUGGGAAUUCUGGUGUAGCUGACCAAGCAGCGUUUGUAUAAUCAGUUGUUGUGUCUUGACAAACCAGAAGAGUAGUUAUAGUUGGUUUAAAGAAAGUGUGUCUGCAAACACAAGCAACAGUGGCAGCCUUCAGAAAUGUGGGCUGUUCAUUCCUACAGCAUACAGAGUUGUUUCUCAACACUGAGGUUUCGGAGGAUUUCUUUAAGCAAGUUCGGAUUCAGUGGAACAGGCACUCUGGGGUAAAGUUCAUUGCAAGGCAGUAGAUCCAAGGUGGUGUCAACCUUCCUUAAAAUUAGUCAAAUAUAAAAUUAAAAUUACUUGAGAUAAUUAUCAUGUUUUGUGUGAAACCCUUAUCAAUGACAAAUAAAAAGAGGCAGCCCUGUAUUUAUAUAGCA
rnacentral:lncRNA from 1 species